CAGGGAAGAAGCCUUCGGGUGACGGUACCUGCAGAAAAAGCGCCGGCUAACUACGUGCCAGCAGCCGCGGUAAUACGUAGGGCGCAAGCGUUAUCCGGAAUUAUUGGGCGUAAAGAGCUCGUAGGCGGUCUGUCGCGUCUGCUGUGAAAACCCGAGGCUCAACCUCGGGCCUGCAGUGGGUACGGGCAGACUAGAGUGCGGUAGGGGAGAUUGGAAUUCCUGGUGUAGCGGUGGAAUGCGCAGAUAUCAGGAGGAACACCGAUGGCGAAGGCAGAUCUCUGGGCCGUAACUGACGCUGAGGAGCGAAAGGGUGGGGAGCAAACAGGCUUAGAUACCCUGGUAGUCCACCCCGUAAACGUUGGGAACUAGUUGUGGGGUCCAUUCCACGGAUUCCGUGACGCAGCUAACGCAUUAAGUUCCCCGCCUGGGGAGUACGGCCGCAAGGCUAAAACUCAAAGGAAUUGACGGGGACCCGCACAAGCGGCGGAGCAUGCGGAUUAAUUCGAUGCAACGCGAAGAACCUUACCAAGGCUUGACAUAUACGAGAACGCUGCAGAAAUGUAGAACUCUUUGGACACUCGUAAACAGGUGGUGCAUGGUUGUCGUCAGCUCGUGUCGUGAGAUGUUGGGUUAAGUCCCGCAACGAGCGCAACCCUCGUUCUAUGUUGCCAGCACGUAAUGGUGGGAACUCAUGGGAUACUGCCGGGGUCAACUCGGAGGAAGGUGGGGAUGACGUCAAAUCAUCAUGCCCCUUAUGUCUUGGGCUUCACGCAUGCUACAAU
rnacentral:rRNA from 1 species